GAGUCUGAAUACACCAAUGGGCGAACAGAGCAGUCCUCUACAGGUGGAUGUGGGGACGGAGGAAACAUCUGAGAGAAACCCUAACCAGAAUGACAGGGGAAAUACAGGAGUGAUAGAUUUUCUUCAAUGCUGCUGUCUGCUUCUACUGACCUUACUAUAUCUUUUGUUCCGAGCAAUGGUCAUCAUCACUCUCUGUGUGCUACCCAUCGCUGAGAUCGCCAUAGGCGCCUUGUAUCUGAAGGACUGUCCCUUCAAACCCUUUGUUCCCGUUUACCUGCUGGUGAUGGGAGUGUUCAGCCUGUUGCUGGGCCCUCUCCUCAUCGCCGCCCAGCUGACUGGGGAAAGGGCGCAAUGGCUGGGCGUGGCGGCAGUGAAACUGCUGUGCACUUUCCUGUUCUGCUGGAGCAGCGCAGGGCUCUGACCACCAAUCAAGAUGGAGGAACGGGGGAAUCUGCUCCGACAAGUCCCCAGACCGCCUCGGGUCAGCACCCCAGUCCUAGUGAUCUCCAAGAUUAUCAUGAUUGCAUUGCCCAUUGCGCAGAUCGUCAUAGGCACCCUGUACCUGCACGACUGCCCCAGCCAGCGCUACAUCCCCAUCUACCUGCUGGUGACGGGGGUCUUCUCCGUUGUCCUCAGUCUGCUGUCCUGCCUGCCCUGCGCCAAGGAGGAGGAGGAGGGGGGCAGCAGCAGCAUGCUGAGCAGCCUGUGCACCACCUGGAACUCCCUGACGUCUCUUUUCCUGUUCUGCUGGUUCAUCGCAGGCAACGUCUGGAUCUAUUCCAUCUACCAGCCCAAUUACACGAGAGGAGAGCCCGACUUCUGCAACAAGACGCUGUACCUCUUCGCCUUCUGGGCCACCACGCUGGUCUACAUCUUCCUGGGGCUGUUCAUGGUGGGGGGGUGCAUUGUCAUGAUGAUAGUCUGCAUUUGCAGAGCAGUGGAGGCUUAGGGGGGUGA
rnacentral:lncRNA from 1 species